CCCCCCCCCCCCCCCCCCCCCCCCCCCCCCCCCCCCCCCCCCCCCCCCCUUUUUAACCGUUCCACCGAUGCGUGAGGGCAACUUCGCUUCGAAACCGAGUGCUGUUGGAUAUUCCUGUUUUCACUUCUCCAUGAAUCUCCACUACAUCGAGUAUCAUAAAGCUGUUUUUGAAUCCUUGGAGAAAACACACAGAAGGUCUAGUCAGCUUCAUGAAGCAGAGAUGUCUGGAGACUGAAGUAAUUGGGGAGAGGAUCUCACGUGUCCCCCUGUCAGGAAUACCUUCGCUGCUCACUAAGAGCAGAAGCUGAUUCAAACCCUUG
rnacentral:lncRNA from 12 species